CUGAAGUUUGUUUGUGUACUAUCUUAUGUGGAAUUGGGAUGGUAUGACUUUGAAUACUUAUCGUACAUGAGGAAAGGAAAUGUGAAAUGUUGGGUUGAUUAAUUAAUAGAGAACAAAAGCAUUGAUACUAUAUGAUUGUGUAGAUUCAGUUAUGUUGAUUGAGUAUUUGUUGGUGCGUUGCAAUAAGAUGCAUUUUUUUCAUAAUAAGUUGAUGUGGUUGUUGUAUUUAUAUGCAUCUUCGUUCUGGAGCCCUCCCUGUUUUCCACAUCUCCCCUCGCACUACCUAAAGCCGAAACCAAACCCAGCUAUGCAGGAAUCAAAUCGCAGGUCUCCGACACCCACAAAGGAUUGACAAGGAUGAACAGAAACGGAUAUAACAACAGUAAGACCAAAUAUGAGAUCCAACGAAAUAAAAAAAAAUAGCGGUGUAGAAGCCAAGGCCUACGGAUUCAAAAGGAAAAGAAUGCCUGCAUGUUGGAUCUGUGAUUUGGGCUUGAACAAAAGUACCUCUGUGCUGCCUGGAUCCUCCACCCCCAAACUUAGAAUGAAAGAGAGCUAGAACUAGAAGGACAGUAAAAUGCUCGAAUAAUGGAACAGAAUUGCGAUUAUGCCCGAGAUAUUUGAUGUUACAGUAACAACUGCAAAUACAAGUUGAGAGGAAGAUCAUAUUCCUUUUGUGGUGGAGCUAGAGUUCGUUAUCGUCUGCGCCGAUCCUAGCCCAUUUGAAACUCAAGAAGAGAUUGAAAUUGGGGAAUGCUCACUGAGGCUGGUAAGGAAUUGAAAUUGGAAAUUAGUAAGUCAAAGAAAGCUAAGAAAUAGGAAAGGAAGGAUGGUAAUUCAUUUGAAACUCAAGAAGAGAAUGAAAUUGGUGAGAUGCUCACUAAGGCUGUUAAGUCAAAGAACACUAAGACAAAGAAAAAGAAGGAUGGUAAUUCAUUAGAGUUUGUAAGAGUUACUUUUCACUAACAGAUUGUCUCGCAUCACCUCCUUUUAUACUUAUGCUACAAGGAUUCAGGACUCAAUUUUGGAUAUAUGUGCAAGUGCAUUUUAGCCACAUCACCAUCAUUCUCAAAUUCAUAUGAAAAACUCAUGCAAAUUGUAUAUAACUUGGACUUAGAAAUCCGCCCUUUUGGAUGUACAUAGGAUGCAAAUUGAAGACUUAUUUUACCAUGUGAAUUCAGCUGUUUUGAUUGGUUUA